rnacentral:sRNA from 1 species
GAUGGGUCACUUACUUGGAGUCCGAACUCUCACUUUCUAACCCUGUGCACUUGUUUGGGAUAGUAACUCUCGCAAGAGAGCGAACUCCUAUUCACUUAUAAACACAAAGUCUAUGAAUGUAUUAAAUUUUAUAACAAAAUAAAACUUUCAACAACGGAUCUCUUGGCUCUCGCAUCGAUGAAGAACGCAGCGAAAUGCGAUAAGUAAUGUGAAUUGCAGAAUUCAGUGAAUCAUCGAAUCUUUGAACGCACCUUGCGCUCCAUGGUAUUCCGUGGAGCAUGCCUGUUUGAGUGUCAUGAAUACUUCAACCCUCCUCUUUCUUAAUGAUUGAAGAGGUGUUUGGUUUCUGAGCGCUGCUGGCCUUUACGGUCUAGCUCGUUCGUAAUGCAUUAGCAUCCGCAAUCGAACUUCGGAUUGACUUGGCGUAAUAGACUAUUCGCUGAGGAAUUCUAGUCUUCGGACUAGAGCCGGGUUGGGUUAAAGGAAGCUUCUAAUCAGAAUGUCUACAUUUUAAGAU